rnacentral:sRNA from 1 species
UCCCAUCCAAGUACUAACCAGGCCCAACCCUGCUUAGUUUCUGAGAUCAAACAAGAUCAGGCACGUUCAGGGUGGUAUGG